UUGAAAUUUUUAACUAAAGUAACAGUACAAGUUUAACUAUUUCUCAAUAUCUUAAAUUAUUACAACUUUAGAGUUUAAAAACUAAUGUAAAUUGAGCCAAAACUCAUUGUGAGACAUAUUAAAUGGUUUUAUGGAGGAAUUAAAAGUAUCAAAGUUGGGCAACCAAAAUUGAUUUGUUCAAAGGAGAUAAGAGAUUGGUU
rnacentral:lncRNA from 1 species